CCUACGGGUGGCAGCAGUGAGGAAUAUUGGUCAAUGGGCGCGAGCCUGAACCAGCCAAGUCGCGUGCGGGAAGACGGUCCUAUGGAUUGUAAACCUCUUUUGUCGGGGAGCAACAGACGCCACGCGUGGCGUUCCGCGAGUACCCUAAGAAGAAGCAUCGGCUAACUCCGUGCCAGCAGCCGCGUUAAUACGGAGGAUGCGGGCGUUAUCCGGAUUUAUUGGGUUUAAAGGGUGCGCGGCCGGACGAUCAAGUCAGCGGUAAAAUUGAGAGGCUCAACCCCUUCGAGCCGUGGAAACUGGUGUGCUAGAGUGAGUGAGAGGUAGGCGGAAUGCGUGGUGUAGCGGUGAAAUGCAUAGAUAUCACGCAGAACACCGAUUGCGAAGGCAGCAUACUGGAGCUCAACUGACGCUCAUGCACGAAAGUGUGGGUAUCGAACAGGAUUAGAUACCCUGGUAGUC
rnacentral:rRNA from 1 species